GCCCUCGUGGUCCAAUGGAUCACGACGCCGGUCUACGAAACCGGAGAUGGAGGUUCGACUCCUCCCGAGGGCA
rnacentral:tRNA from 1 species